rnacentral:rRNA from 1 species
UACGGAGGGAGCUAGCGUUGUUCGGAAUUACUGGGCGUAAAGCGCACGUAGGCGGCUACUCAAGUCGGGGGUGAAAGCCCGGGGCUCAACCCCGGAACUGCCCUCGAAACUAGGUGGCUAGAAUCUUGGAGAGGUCAGUGGAAUUCCGAGUGUAGAGGUGAAAUUCGUAGAUAUCGGGAAGAACACCAGUGGCGAAGGCGACUGACUGGACAAGUAUUGACGCUGAGGUGCGAAAGCGUGGGGGAGCAAACAGG